AAUGGGAUUCAAAUCCUAGAGGGACAAGGAAACCAUAACUAAUUUCCUACGCUCUCCGAGAUGCCACUGGCAGAGAAGAGGCUGCAGAGGAUAAAACUGCUCAAUCUGAGCUGUUAUCUACCUGGGAUGCAGCUGGGAUGAACAUUUCCAUGCUCUGAAAUCUUUUUUAACACCAGGGGAGGAGAAAAACACCACUUCAAAUGCACCUCAUGAGGGACACCCUGAUAUUUCCGAUGCCUGGAUGUAGCAUCUGCGGGGGCUGCGAGAAGCUGAUCCUGUAAAUCUCCCCGUGUGCCGAGGAGGGGCACGGAUCCUGAUCUAGGUCAAGUCCAGGUGGCAGCAGCUGCCUGCUCUGAGAGGACACUGCCUGGAUCCCAAACCUGGCACUGAGCAACAGGGAAAAUGCAGCCCAGGAGGAGGAGGAGGAGGAGGAGGACAGAGCCUGAACACAGGACAGGCUUUGUCCUGGGAAACCAGGCUGGAUGCUCCAUCAAUCCCCCUCUGGCUGCUCCAUUCCACUGGCGCUGCUCCCGCUGCAUCAUUAAGGUGAAAUGGAUUUGGAUUUGGGGUGAAAAGGAGAGGAAGAAGGUUUUGCUGGAGGCUAAUUCAUCCGCACGAGGAGCCCCAUCUCCCAAUUCACCCCCCACUGCCAUGGGGGCAGCCCCCGGUGCUCUCUGCUUAAUGAGCUGAUCCUUCAAAAAGCAGCCCCAAAGGUGGGUGUCAGUGGUGUUGCUGCACAAAGGGAUUAGGAUGUGUUUGUUCAUCUCUGCUCUGUCAUUAAUUAAAGCAAUUAGCCCACACAGGCUUGGUGGGGUACAAAGCCAUCCUGCACCCCCUAGGAAGAAUAUACUCCAUUAUGAAAUAUAAUCUCUCUAUCGAUAUACUGUAGAUUAUUAGAGGGAUUUAGGGUAGAGAGACAUCUCUUAGGAAGGGUUUGGGGAGGAACCUGAGAAUUGACACAGCUUCACUAAAACAAAAGUAAUUUUUCAGCUCUGAAGCACCCAAUUUUUCGCCUUUCUCUUUCCCUUCUGGGCCAGAAAAAUCUCCUGAGCUCAUGCCCUGGGGCUCUUCAUGCUUUGCAUCCAGCCCUGGGGCUGGGAGUGAAUGGUCCCAGCAGGACUGGCCAAAAUCAAACCACUGAUCAAACCUGAUCAUGAGGCACAAAAGCAAAGCUGAAUGCUGGGCAUGAAAACAACCACGUGGUGGGUUAAACUGCCCGUUGGAAUUUGUAUAUUCAAAGUCCAUCACAGCCUUUUGCCAAGUCCUGCCCUGGAAAGAGCUGCAUCAGCAUCACCAGUGGGGAAACUGAGGCACAGCUGGGGCAACUCAAUCCCGAGCUGGAUCACGCAUGCUCCUGUGUGUGUCCUUAAACCUCUGGGGUAAACAAAACAAUUAACUGUUUUUAUUUGAGGUUUAUUAACCUCUGGGGUAAACAAACAAUUUAUUUAGGGCCUCGUGGUGCCAAGGCUUUCCUCGAAGCUGUCCUGGCUGAUUUCCUGGGAGCAGCCACACGGGCUGUGCACGGGGGAAGGCGUCUGUCCCAGGGGUGGUGGCAGGAGUAUUGCCCUGGUGCCAUGGCCCAGGCGGGGGGAACUGGGGACACGGGUCCCCCAGAGUGUCCCCAUGCUGGGGUUGGGGGGCAACACAGCCUCAAGGGCAGCUCGGCCCUUUUGCAGCCCCAGGAGCUGUGCGGGGACAUCGAUGUCCUGGAGCAACCCAGCGCUGCCUCUCCUGGAACUGGCACUUAAUGAGUAACUCUGGCUUAAUAACCAAAAUCACAGACCGGGGGCGGAAUGAACCCCGCUGCUCCAAGAGCUUGUGCCAGAACCGAAGGCUGGGAUAUGAGCUCCCUCCUGGCUCCUGUCUUUAGCCUAAAAUGGCCUCAACUAGAGGAUCUUUAAGGUCCUUUCCAACCUAAACCAUUCUAUGAUUCUGUGAUUCUAUGGAAGUGGCUACAGCAUCGUCCCACAAAAAUGCUGUUUCCCACAGCUGGGCUCAAACUGUGAGAUUUUAUUGCGAACCCCAAGUGUGCUGGGCCAAAGCACUCUGCCCUAAAGCAUUCCUGAUUUGGGGGGCGAGAAUGAAUAAAUAAUGUUUUAUCUAAUGCA
rnacentral:lncRNA from 1 species